AGAGUUUGAUCCUGGCUCAGGAUGAACGCUAGCUACAGGCUUAACACAUGCAAGUCGAGGGGAAACGACAUCGAAAGCUUGCUUUUGAUGGGCGUCGACCGGCGCACGGGUGAGUAACGCGUAUCCAACCUGCCCACCACUUGGGGAUAACCUUGCGAAAGUAAGACUAAUACCCAAUGACGUCUCUAGAAGACAUCUGAAAGAGAUUAAAGAUUUAUCGGUGAUGGAUGGGGAUGCGUCUGAUUAGCUUGUUGGCGGGGUAACGGCCGCCAAGGCUACGAUCAGUAGGGGUUCUGGAGAGGAAGGUCCCCCANAUUGGAACUGAGACACGGUCCAAACGUCCUACGGGAGGCA
rnacentral:rRNA from 1 species